ACAAGUUGAUUGAGAAAGGGUUGUUUGGGUUUGUUACGUGUGGUAUUGGAUGCAAGUCUCUGGCUUUAAUGCUAAUGCACGCAAGCUGCUCGGUGAAAUGCCAACGAGACUGUCAGAUUGUUUAGAAGCAGAGAGUGAGUAUAGUUGUAUUUGGUAGGUGUGGAAAGAGAGUUCUUCAUGAGACAGAUUAGAAGAAUGAAAUGGGUAAAGUAAACCUAGAUUCAUAGUGAGACAAAUAGGCCACAAUUAUACCUCUGAGUGAGAUCAACUAAGCUCUCCAAGUUCAAGAGAAACCUCUGAGUGAAGCCAUGUGAUACUCUCCAAGUAUAGGUCUGAAUAGAUCUCACACUAAUGUUUGUCUACAAUGGUGAGUAGAACCAUUUGCCAACAUCUCAAGCAUCCUACUUCAUCUACUUAUGCUCAUCUAAAGCCAUCUCCAUCUGUGCCUUCAAACUCAGCGUAGCUGCUCCAUCCACGCUAAGUUUGCGGGGGAGUAUUAGCAAGGCCCAAAUAAAGACCGGAAGCCCAUUACCUAAGCUCAUUGUAUCUAGG
rnacentral:lncRNA from 1 species